AUGUGUUCCUCUAGUGUAAGAGCUAUUGUUACUUUAAAUCUUCUUAACUAUGGAAGUGGACGACAUCCCUGGGGUAAUCUGAAGCCAGAUUAUUUGGAAAAGGUAUAUAUCUCUCCUCGAGAUAAUGUUAAUUUUCAUUGGGUUUGUUAGCUCUAUGUUCUUCUAUGCUGUAUGUUGGUUAUGCAGAUGCGAGCAUGAAAAUACUCGAGUACUUACGAAGUUAUUGUUUUUCCCUGAUUCAUCAAUAAUACUCAAGUACUGUGGAGUUAUUGUGUUUCACACUUUCACCUAACUCAUCAUAAUUUGCCCCUUACCAUAUUUGAUCUCAUGUACCAUAUGGUCCCUUCAGACUUUACAUGAUUAUAACAUCCCCUGUUAUUGAAGGGACUUAAGUUUCAGGUCAAUAAUGCUUAUCUUGACAUUUAUUGUUCUCACAGAAAAAGUUUGUUGAGGCCCAUGCUGAUGAUGGUCUUCUAGAAAUUUUUGGCCUUAAGCACGGAUGGCAUGCAUCAUUUGUUAUGGCCGAACUCAUUUCUGCCAAGCACAUUGCUCAGGUAUAUUGAGAUGAUUUCUUUGGAGCAAUUCUUGACAACAUUUGUAGUUGAGGCCUUUAGAAUGGAAGAAUGUAUUUCACUAAUUUUUUUAUACAUUUCUUGUUUUGUAUUUAGUGAUAAAGGAAUCAGAAUUGGGCAUAAAUUAUGUUGUGAUAUGAUUUCUUAAGCCUAGACUAGUAGACUAAAUAUUGUAAUUACAUUUGAGUAAUUAAUAAAAAUCUAUUUAUGUUA